UACGUAGGGUGCAAGCGUUGUCCGGAAUUAUUGGGCGUAAAGAGCUUGUAGGCGGUUUGUCGCGUCUGCUGUGAAAUUUCGGGGCUCAACCCCGAACUUGCAGUGGGUACGGGCAGACUAGAGUGUGGUAGGGGAGACUGGAAUUCCUGGUGUAGCGGUGAAAUGCGCAGAUAUCAGGAGGAACACCGGUGGCGAAGGCGGCUACCUGGACAGAAACUGACGCUGAGGCGCGAAAGCUAGGGGAGCAAACAGG
rnacentral:rRNA from 1 species